UACAGAGGGGGCGAGCGUUGUUCGGAAUUACUGGGCGUAAAGGGCGCGUAGGCGGCCAACUAAGUCAGACGUGAAAUCCCUCGGCUCAACCGGGGAACUGCGUCUGAUACUGGAUGGCUUGAAUUCGGGAGAGGGAUGCGGAAUUCCAGGUGUAGCGGUGAAAUGCGUAGAUAUCGGGAGGAACACCUGUGGCGAAAGCGGCGCACUGGACCACAACUGACGCUGAGGCGCGAAAGCUAGGGGAGCAAACAGG
rnacentral:rRNA from 1 species